rnacentral:lncRNA from 1 species
AAUUCGCAAACAGGUUUCAGGCACAGAUGGCAUACACUAAGAAAUGGAUGGUGGAUGCAUCAAUUAUAUGUGCUGGGGACGAUGGGUCUGGGAGGGUGGCUUUCAUUGGGGGAGAGGAAUGCAUAGACAUGCUGUGUGCCUUUGUACAUCAAUCGGAUUCGGAGUGUUUGCCGGGUGAUCCUGCAGAUAAGCUUGGGGGGGGCCUCGCCAAACUUAUUGGCUCCCGUAGGUUCCCAGGCGUAUGGAGCGUGAAAGGGGUUGGAGGUCCUUAUGCUCCAGGAUUGUUUGCGUGUGUGAAGGCGCAUGGG